UACGUAGGGGGCGAGCGUUGUCCGGAAUUAUUGGGCGUAAAGAGCGUGUAGGCGGUUCGGUAAGUCUGCCGUGAAAACCUGGGGCUCAACCCCGGGCGUGCGGUGGAUACUGCCGGGCUAGAGGGUGGUAGAGGCGAGUGGAAUUCCUGGUGUAGCGGUGAAAUGCGCAGAUAUCAGGAGGAAUACCGAUGGCGAAGGCAGGUCUCUGGGCUGACACUGACGCUCAUGCACGAAAGCGUGGGGAGCAAACAGG
rnacentral:rRNA from 1 species